GAUAUCAAGACUGAUUUACAUGAUGGACAAAUUGUGAAAAUGGGUUCCCGUUCCUGGAGGCAGGCGCGGGGCUGGGCUGUAGGUCAGGAGGUGGAGGAGGAGCCGUCGCAGGCGAGAAGGGCAGGGAAGUUGUGUCCUGGACAUAGGGCGGGUCUCAUCGCUUCUUCCUCUGGCCCCUUCUGUCCGUGUCCUGAAUUCUUUUUCUGGCCGUGGACAGAGCGAUGAGGUCGGGGCGGCUGUGACCGUCAGGGGAGAGGA
rnacentral:lncRNA from 1 species